rnacentral:rRNA from 1 species
AACGAACGCUGGCGGCAGGCCUAACACAUGCAAGUCGAACGCGACCUUCGGGUUGAGCGGCGCACGGGUGCGUAACGCGUGGGAACGUGCCCUUUUCUUCGGAAUAGCCCCCGGAAAGGGGGGGUAAUACCGGAUAAUGCCUUCGGAGGAAAGAUUUAUCGGCUAUGGAUCGGCCCGCGUUGGAUUAGCUAGUUGGUAGGGUAAAAGCCUACCAAGGCGACGAUCCAUAGCUGGUUUGAGAGGAUGAUCAGCCACACUGGGACUGAGACACGGCCCAGACUCCUACGGGAGGCAGCAGUGGGGAAUAUUAGACAAUGGGCGCAAGCCUGAUCCAGCAAUGCCGCGUGAGUGAUGAAGGCCUUAGGGUUGUAAAGCUCUUUUAGCCGGGAUGAUAAUGACGGUACCGGGAGAAUAAGCCCCGGCUAACUCCGUG